ensembl:snRNA U6 U6 spliceosomal RNA
GCACUCGCUUUGGCAGCACAUAUACUAAAAUUUGAAUAAUACAAAGAUUAGUGUGGUCCCUGCACAAGGAUGACACACAAAUUUGUGAGCAUUCCACAUUUUU